UCUAUUUUACAUUAUAUGUGA
rnacentral:piRNA from 1 species